rnacentral:rRNA from 1 species
UACGAAGGGGGCUAGCGUUGUCCGGAUUUACUGGGCGUAAAGAGCGCGCAGGCGGUCGUUCAAGUCGCGUGUGAAAGCCCCCGGCUCAACUGGGGAGGGUCACGCGAUACUGAUCGACUCGAAGGCAGGAGAGGGAAGUGGAAUUCCCGGUGUAGUGGUGAAAUGCGUAGAUAUCGGGAGGAACACCAGUGGCGAAGGCGGCCAACUGGACGAAUACUGACGCUGAGACUCGAAAGCGUGGGGAGCAAACAGGG